rnacentral:rRNA from 1 species
UACGUAGGGUGCGAGCGUUGUCCGGAAUUAUUGGGCGUAAAGGGCUCGUAGGCGGUUUGUCACGUCGGGAGUGAAAACUCAGGGCUUAACCCUGAGCCUGCUUCCGAUACGGGCAGACUAGAGGUAUGCAGGGGAGAACGGAAUUCCUGGUGUAGCGGUGAAAUGCGCAGAUAUCAGGAAGAACACCAAUGGCGAAGGCAGCUCUCUGGGACGGUACUGACGCUGAGACGCGAAAGCGUGGGGAGCGAACAGG